UACGUACGGGGCUAGCGUUGUCCGGAAUCAUUGGGCGUAAAGCGCGUGUAGGCGGUCCGGUAAGUCCGCUGUGAAAGUCGGGGGCUCAACCCUCGAAUGCCGGUGGAUACUGUCGGGCUUGAGUACGGGAGAGGCGAGUGGAAUUCCUGGUGUAGCGGUGAAAUGCGCAGAUAUCAGGAGGAAUACCAGCGGCGAAGGCGGCGCUCUGGGCCGGUACUGACGCUGAGGAGCGAAAGCGUGGGGAGCAAACAGG
rnacentral:rRNA from 1 species